GACGAACGCUGGCGGCACGCUUAACACAUGCAAGUCGAACGAGAGAAGAGAAGCUUGCUUUUCUGAUCUAGUGGCGGACGGGUGAGUAACACGUGAGCAAUCUGCCUUUCAGAGGGGGAUACCGAUUGGAAACGAUCGUUAAUACCGCAUAAUAUAAUUGAACCGCAUGAUUUGAUUAUCAAAGAUUUAUCGCUGAAAGAUGAGCUCGCGUCUGAUUAGCUAGUUGGUAAGGUAACGGCUUACCAAGGCGACGAUCAGUAGCCGGACUGAGAGGUUGAUCGGCCACAUUGGGACUGAGACACGGCCCAGACUCCUACGGGAGGCAGCAGUGGGGAAUAUUGCACAAUGGAGGAAACUCUGAUGCAGCGAUGCCGCGUGAGGGAAGAAGGUUUUAGGAUUGUAAACCUCUGUCUUCAGGGACGAAAAAAGACGGUACCUGAGGAGGAAGCUCCGGCUAACUACGUGCCAGCAGCCGCGGUAAUACGUAGGGAGCGAGCGUUGUCCGGAAUUACUGGGUGUAAAGGGAGCGUAGGCGGGAUCGCAAGUCAGAUGUGAAAACUAUGGGCUUAACCCAUAAACUGCAUUUGAAACUGUGGUUCUUGAGUGAAGUAGAGGUAAGCGGAAUUCCUAGUGUAGCGGUGAAAUGCGUAGAUAUUAGGAGGAACAUCAGUGGCGAAGGCGGCUUACUGGGCUUUAACUGACGCUGAGGCUCGAAAGCGUGGGGAGCAAACAGGAUUAGAUACCCUGGUAGUCCACGCCGUAAACGAUGAUUACUAGGUGUGGGGGGACUGACCCCUUCCGUGCCGCAGCAAACGCAAUAAGUAAUCCACCUGGGGAGUACGACCGCAAGGUUGAAACUCAAAGGAAUUGACGGGGGCCCGCACAAGCAGUGGAGUAUGUGGAUUAAUUUGAAGCAACGCGAAGAACCUUACCAGGUCUUGACAUCGUAUGCAUAGCUCAGAGAUGAGUGAAAUCUCUUCGGAGACAUAUAGACAGGUGGUGCAUGGUUGUCGUCAGCUCGUGUCGUGAGAUGUUGGGUUAAGUCCCGCAACGAGCGCAACCCUUACUGUUAGUUGCUACACAAGAGCACUCUAGCAGGACUGCCGUUGACAAAACGGAGGAAGGUGGGGAUGACGUCAAAUCAUCAUGCCCCUUAUGACCUGGGCCUCACACGUACUACAAUGGCUGUCAACAGAGGGAAGCAAAGCCGCGAGGUGGAGCGAACCCCUAAAAGCAGUCUUAGUUCGGAUUGUAGGCUGCAACCCACCUGCAUGAAGAUGGAAUUGCUAGUAAUCGCGGAUCAGCAUGCCGCGGUGAAUAAAAUCCCGGGCCUUGUACA
rnacentral:rRNA from 1 species